CAUUUAGAUGAAUUCAAGUUACCAGCUAAUAUGCAGAUAUCACAUUAUAUCGAUGAUAUAAUGAUUCAAGGAAAUACUGAAGAACAGGUCAAAGAACAAUUAGACUUGUUAAUAGAACACAUGAAAAAUAAAGGGUGGGAGAUUAAUCCCGCCAAGGUGCAGGGACCUGCACAAGCGGUGAAGUUUUUGGGGAUACAGUGGAAUAAAGGACAUAGGGAAAUCCUCCCUAAAGCCAGGCAGAAGAUCCUAGAUUUCCCUACCCCCAAAAACAAACAAGAAACCCAAUCUUAUAUUGGGCUGUUUGGCUUUUGGAGGCAGCAUAUUCCUCAUUUAGGACAGUUACUUUCCCCCUUACGAAAGGUGACACGCAAGAAAUAUGCAUUUACUUGGGGGAGGAACAGCAACAGGCAUUUGAAGAUGCCAAGCAAGCAAUUCAACAAGCAAUAGAUUUGUGGCCCAUGGAAGAUGGAGAGGUAGAAUUACAUGUAUCAGCACAAGAACAAUAUGCUACUUGGUCACUGUGGCAAAAGCAAAGUGGCAAGAGAGUGCCACUAGGAUUUUGGAACAGAAAAUUACCCGAUGCAGGAGAGAAGUACACUCCUUUGGAGCAACAGUUACUAGCUUGCUAUUGGGCAUUAGUGGAUACUGAACAGUUAACAAUAGGACACUCUGUAUUGAUGAGACCACGCAUACCAAUUAUGCAAUGGAUCAUGUCUAAUCCAAAGUCAAAUAGGAUAGGGCAUGCCCAAGAACAGAGUAUUAUAAAAUGGAAAUGGUAUAUUUCAGAAAGGGCAAAACAGGGAGAGGGAGGUGUGGCAUCCUUACAUGAAAAAAUUGCAGAUAUUCCAGUAGAUGGAGUGAGUACAGCUUCUCCUCAAGAACAGCUGGAAGAAUCACCAGUAAAAUGGGGUAAACCUUAUACUGAGUUAAGCGACAAAUCUCAAUGUCACACAUGGUUUACAGAUGGAUCUGCACGUUAUGUUGCCGGAAGAAGAAAGUGGAGAUCAGUUGCGUUUAAUCCCCGCAUGUCUAAGACAUUAGAAAUAGAAGGGGAAGGAAAGAGUAGCCAAUAUGCUGAAUUAUUUGCAGUAUAUUUGGCCCUUAGACAGGAAAUUGGAGGUGAAUGUAAUAUUUAUACUGAUUCAUGGCCAGUAGCCAAUGGAUUAGCCACAUGGAUGAUGAGCUGGAAGAAACAUGAUUGGAAAAUUCAUGGGAAAGAGUUAUGGGGAAAGGAAGUCUGGGAGGACAUUGAAGUUAUCACUAAACAAACAAAAGUAACUGUUGAUGCACAUGUACCAUUAGACUCACUUGAACGUUUGUUUAAUUCACAAGCCGCCAUUGCUAAGUCAUCUCAUGAGCCAGUGGCAGGAGAGACGAAGGAAUUGGAAUCAUGGUUGCAGGGUACAGCCCUUUGGGCACACCAAAAGAGUGGACAUCUGGGAGAAAAGGCAACUUACAGAUUGUCGUGAGGCUCAGUCUUGGAAUCCUUGGAAUUGUAUUAUUGGUCGUCCCCUCUAGUACAUGGACACCUGGAUUGAAGAUAGAGAAACGAGAGUUGCAUACUGUACGGUGGGGAUGGAACAAUGCCACCAUACCAAGAACCCAAGAUAAUUUCACUUGUCAGGCCAAUCAGCGCUGUACUAAUAUAGUAAAUAUAACAAUUCCAGGAACGAUGUGGGCUGGACCGCCUGAUCCACAAAGAAACAGAUAUCGACCUACAUUUGCCUUACAUCAGUCAGAAGGCAAUAUCACAAUUAAUGCUGCAGCAAAUAUAAGUUGCUGCUCCAAACCUUAUAGGUUCCGAUUUCUCCCUAAAGAAGAGAAGAAUAAAGAAUAUAAGAAUUGUUCUAAACAAGGAGCAACACAUUUCGGUUAGCCGUAAAAGACGUUUUAAUUUUGGUAUAUCAUAAUGCUACUGAAAUAAAAAAUCGAACGUGGUGGGCACAAGAUUUAAUGUUUAUUGAUAUCAAUGCAUCACGAAUCGAUAUUGGACAUGUUAAAAGAUUACCAUCUACAUGUGAAAAUGUAGGUACACAAGCUCAAAAGACUGUGUUAGUCACAUAAGUUGUUUUCCCUCCCAAUAAUAGACAAUGUAUAUCCCGGCAACGACGUGCCUAGUAUGAUACAUUGUUGGGAGGAUAUGGGACUCUAACAGGAGUAUUAAAUGGAAUAGAUAUUGAAACAUUAGCCAAUAGGAUGCAUAACGCCGGUAGUAAAUUAAAUGACGGACUUACAUUACAAGCAAAAUGGAUGCCUACUAUUUUUGAGCCAGCCAAAAUAUCGGCUGGAAUAGAUACUUUAAUGAACCAGCUAAUUAAUGCAAGUAAUGAUUUUGCUGUUGGAUUUGAUACCAACAUUACUAAAUUUAUAAAUUGGACCGUCUGUACACUACAGACUAUGUAUGAGCAACAACAAAAAGGCGUUAUGCAAACUAUGCUAAUGACCGGAAAUGAACAAGUAUGGAGAACAAUUUUUAAUACAAGUGUGUCCAGGGACGCUUGGAUACACUUGGAAGCUGCUAAAAUGAUUUGUAAUGACACCGUAUGCCAAGGUAUUUUAACUACCGGUAUGUAUAAUGUAACCAAAGUUAUGCAAAUGUGUAAAUAUAUUGUAAUGCCUUUGUUGUUAGGACCAUCUGGUGGAGAAUGGUACUGGUUCCCCACUAUGAAAGGAGAAUAUAUAGAUGAGAAUAAUAGAACUCAUGAUUUGAGUAUUUGUACACCCACUUUACAAGGCAAGAUAUGUAGAGUACAAUCUGCAGUUUAUGAACCUUGCUUAUUAGAGAAUGGAGUAAAUUUAUGUAAAUGGAUAGUUUUACCUUUGUCAUAUACAAUGAUGAUGGAGGUAGCCCCACAGGAAGUAUGUUUGGUAACUGAUACACCAGCCAUACCUGGAAUGGUAGUUCCAUUUUCCGGAUAUAUUAGUAAUGUUAGUUCCUUAACCUGGGAAAAUGAGACAUUUAUAUUGUAUGCUGACCGUGAAGAACAUGUUACAAAAUAUUGGAGUCCACAAAAUUUAAGUAUUCCCCAAUGGGAUUUGAAGUUAGAUAAACUACAUAAAAUUAUGAAACAAUCCAAAGUUAUUGAAGAUCAUAUCAAAUAUCUAAAUCAAUCUAUUGUAACUCAUCAAGUGACAACAACAAUAAUUGCUGAUCAAUUACAGAAAAUUGGUUCUGAUGUCCAGGAUGCAACUUCUCAUCAUUGGUGGGACUUGUUUACUGGAUAUUCUCCGUCUGCAUCCAAUAUGCUAAAUUUUCUGAUACAUCCUGUUCUCAUACUGUGUAUAAUAAUAAUAAUUUUAUCUAUUUGGAACUGUGUGGUAUUUUACCGCAUAUGUUGUAAACGACAAAAGGUUGUAAUGGCAAGUUAUGCGUUAUAAUUGGAAUCAGUCAAGGGCCGUUUGUGAUACGAGUGUGAUAUGAAAGGGUGAGAGUGGGGUUUUCUGACUGACUUCCAUUUUGUGCCGCAAUAACUAUGCCAUAUAAUGACAAGAGAAUAGCAAGGGUGUUUGUCUCAUGAAACAAGAUGUUCUAGAAGAAGGAUUCUUAGAAUAGACAAGGACUCAUGUUGUUAUAGACAAGGACUCAUGUUGUUAUUUUCAGUUUAGACAAGGACUCAUGUUGUCAUUUUUAGUUAGAUAAGAUGUUUCAGAACCCCCGGAAUGUACCCAUAUAUGGAUAGAUUGUGUUUUUAGUUUUGUAUAAAGGACGGGGAAUGUUAGGGGAAUUUCGGAAUCCACCUGAGACGCUAGCAGACGUGCUGCGUGUGAAUACCGAAUUUCCCCUUGAGACGAUCGUCUUGAGAUUCCCCAAUCCAGAGUGCUCAAGUGACGCUACAAUAUUCGGUAAGAUAUUGAUGUAGUUUCUUGAUAUUAUACCUAUAUUUAUGAUUAUGUAUUAAUACCUGACGAAAAUACUAUAAGAACUAAUAAAUUAUUUACUAUUGAGACAUAAAA